rnacentral:rRNA from 1 species
CCUACGGGGGGCUGCAGUGGGGAAUAUUGCACAAUGGGCGAAAGCCUGAUGCAGCGACGCCGCGUGAGCGAAGAAGGCCUUCGGGUCGUAAAGCUCUGUCCUAUGGGAAGAAGAAUGACGGUACCAUAGGAGGAAGCCCCGGCUAACUACGUGCCGGCAGCCGCGGUAAUACGUAGGGGGCGAGCGUUGUCCGGAAUGACUGGGCGUAAAGGGUACGUAGGCGGCUAGAUAAGUCAGAUGUGAAAGGCAUAGGCUUAACCUGUGUAAGCAUUUGAAACCGGCUAGCUUGAGUCAAGGAGGGGAAAGGGGAAUUCCUGGUGUAGCGGUGAAAUGCGGAGAUAUCAGGGGGAAUACCAGUGGCGAAGGCGACUUUCUUGACUUAGACUUACGCUGGAGUACGAAAGCGUUGGGAGCAAACAGGAUUAGAUACCCGUGUAGUC